AACGAACGCUGGCGGCAGGCCUAAUACAUGCAAGUCGAGCGCGCCCUUCGGGGUGAGCGGCGGACGGGUGAGUAACGCGUGGGAAUAUGCCCUUCUCUAAGGAAUAGCCUCUGGAAACGGAGAGUAAUACCUUAUACGCCCUUUGGGGGAAAGACUUAUCGGAGAAGGAUUAGCCCGCGUUAGAUUAGGUAGUUGGUGGGGUAAUGGCCUACCAAGCCUACGAUCUAUAGCUGGUUUGAGAGGAUGAUCAGCCACACUGGGACUGAGACACGGCCCAGACUCCUACGGGAGGCAGCAGUAGGGAAUCUUAGACAAUGGGGGCAACCCUGAUCUAGCCAUGCCGCGUGUGUGAUGAAGGCCCUAGGGUCGUAAAGCACUUUCGCCAGAGAUGAUAAUGACAGUAUCUGGUAAAGAAACCCCGGCUAACUCCGUGCCAGCAGCCGCGGUAAUACGGAGGGGGUUAGCGUUGUUCGGAAUUACUGGGCGUAAAGCGCACGUAGGCGGAUUAGUAAGUUAGAGGUGAAAUCCCAGGGCUCAACCCUGGAACUGCCUUUAAUACUGCUAGUCUUGAGUUCGAGAGAGGUAAGUGGAAUUCCGAGUGUAGAGGUGAAAUUCGUA
rnacentral:rRNA from 1 species